rnacentral:miRNA from 1 species
AAACUGAAUUGAUUCCUUACAG